UUAUUAUUAUUAUUAUUAUUUAAUAAUAUUAAUAAGUUUCUAUUAUUAUUAUUAUUGUUGUUGUUGUUGUUGUUGUUGUUGUUGUUGUUAAUAAUAAUAAUAAUAAUGGGAUAAGGCACACAGUGACUUGCUAUCUCGAUCACACGCAGUCUGUGGUCCGCUGGCAGUAGGAGUACAAUAUGGGCAUGUCUUUAAGUUAACAUCUUACAUUAAAAACCUGACAGUACCAGAUUAUGGAAGGCUUUUCACCAAAGCCAGACUAAACGUCUUUCCUUCUGCAGUGUUGGAUGGCAGGUUGAGAGGAGUUCCCUACAAAGACAGACUUUGCUCGUGUGCUCAAGACAUCGAUUCCAUAAAACAUAUUUUGUUGCACUGUGCAAAAUAUGAGCAAGCCAGGGCUGAACUGAUGGUAACUUUCCUGGGAAAAUCAGAGGCUCACUAUGUCAGGUUCCUAUUGGAAGACCGGACAAACACUAGAACAUUAGCAGUGGCAAAGUUUUUAUCGGUGGUUGCAAGAACCAAUGAUCCCUAUCUUUUGAACAAAUUGCUUGUUUAACCUGGAGGUAGGCAGCAUCUUAAAAAACAGAGAUAUCACCUUGCCAACAAAGGUCCGUAUAGUUAAAGCCAUGGUUUUCCCAGUAGUGAUGUAUGGAAGUGAGAGCUGGACCAUAAAGAAGGCUGAUCGCCGAAGAAUUGAUGCUUUUGAAUUAUGGUGCUGGAGGAGACUCUUGAGAGUCCCAUGGACUGCAAGAAGAUCAAACGCAUCCAUUCUUAAGGAAAUCAGCCCUGAAUGGUCACUGGAAGGACAGAUCGUGAAGCUGAGGCUCCAAUACUUUGGCCACCUCACGAGAAGACUCCCUGGAAAAGACCCUGAUGUUGGGAAAGAUUGAGGGCACAAGGAGAAGGGGACGAGAGAGGAUGAGAUGGUUGGACAGUGUUCUCGAAGCCACAAACAUGAGUCUGACCAAACUGCGGGAGGUAGUGGAAGACAGGAGUGCCUGGCAUGCUCUGGUCCAUGGGGUCAUGAAGAGUCGGACACGACUAAACGACUAAACAACAACAGGCUGUAUGAAUUGUGUAUUGCUUUGUAACGAUUUGUUGGGUGUCUGGAC